AUUAGAGUUUGAUCCUGGCUCAGGAUGAACGCUAGCUACAGGCUUAACACAUGCAAGUCGAGGGGCAUCAUGUCGGUUGCUUGCAACCGAUGAUGGCGACCGGCGCACGGGUGAGUAACGCGUAUCCAACCUUCCGCACACUAAGGGAUAACCCGUUGAAAGACGGCCUAAUACCUUAUGUCCUCCACGGCAGACAUCUAAUGUGGAGCAAAGAUUCAUCGGUGUGUGAUGGGGAUGCGUCUGAUUAGGCAGUUGGCGGGGUAACGGCCCACCAAACCGACGAUCAGUAGGGGUUCUGAGAGGAAGGUCCCCCACAUUGGAACUGAGACACGGUCCAAACUCCUACGGGAGGCAGCAGUGAGGAAUAUUGGUCAAUGGGCGGGAGCCUGAACCAGCCAAGUAGCGUGCAGGACGACGGCCCUAUGGGUUGUAAACUGCUUUUAUGCGGGGAUAAAACGCGGGACGUGUCCCGCCUUGCAGGUACCGCAUGAAUAAGGACCGGCUAAUUCCGUGCCAGCAGCCGCGGUAAUAAU
rnacentral:rRNA from 1 species